AAAUUUAAGUCCGUUAAAAAUAAAUCGCACAAUUAUUUUAAUGGGCUAUGAUUUAGAAUUUAGGGUUUAAGGAACCGGCAGAAGUAGAUCUGUAGAAGCGAGGGAACUGCGGAUUUUCGAUUCCGAGCAAAAGAUUAGCGACUUCUCGUCUUCUCCCUUUCCUUAUCAUCGAAGUCUUUGCAUCUGAUCUCCCACCCACGUGAACUGCUUCCUCCUCUCCGAGCACAACGGAAUGUUUCGGGGGAAUCGAUGUAUGACAAGAACAAGUGAAAAAUUGAAGAAAACAUUGUAGUAACGUCAAUGUUUGCCCGGCAAAGAGAAAUUGUUCCACUUUCAGGAAAUCCAUAUUUCACACGUACUUUGUCGCGCUAUGAUGUCCAUGAUUACAGACUGUCCAUUCCGAAGCAAUUCUCCCAUCAUAUGCCAAAAGAUUCUGCUCGUGCACUCUUGUUUUGUGGAGAUAAGAUGUGGGAGGUUCACUAUGUCUAUCACAAAGACAACAAAUAUUUCAGACGUAGUGGAUGGAGAGCUUUUGUUGUCGAUAAUGAUAUGCACAUGGGAGAUGGAUGCGUGUUCGAAUUGAUGGAUAAGGAGAAGAUGCAUUUCAAAGUGCAGAUUUUGCGUGGGGACGCUCCAGAUCUUCCCUGUCUAGGUGGUGAUGGUCGGAACUCUAGUGACCCUAUUUUGAUUGAUUGAAUCUCAUCUCAUGUUAUCUGUCACGAGAAUGAUGCAAGGUUAUGAACAUAUUCUAGCAAUCUUAGACAAGGAGAACAAGAUAUGCAUCCUGCAAGUCAGCAUAGCUUAAUGUAUUUGUGGACGAAGUACUAAAAUCUAGUCAAUUAGAAGAGGCCUAUCAUCACUCUCAUCGUCUUUGUCUCCAUCCCCAUCGACAGUAUUGAUUAAGCUUGGAAGGGCUGGUGACCACAGAUGCCGUCAAAUGAUCAAUGAACAAACACAUGCAAUAUGUAAAACUCAAGCAUUUAUAUGAAGCAACAAAAAACAAGUAAGAAAUCAUAUAAAUUCAACAAAGUGUUUGGUUGAUUGUUCUUUGUUGCAAGAUCCAAAUGUUAUUGUAUAAUUCAUGCAGUAGCCAUAAGUCGAUUUAUCAGCAAAA